rnacentral:rRNA from 1 species
GACGAACGCUGGCGGCGUGCUUAACACAUGCAAGUCGAACGAUGAACCCGGAGCUUGCUCCGGUGGAUUAGUGGCGAACGGGUGAGUAACACGUGAGUAACCUGCCCUUGACUCUGGGAUAACUGCGGGAAACUGUAGCUAAUACCGGAUACGACCCUCGGCGGCAUCGCCAGGGGGUGGAAAGAAUUUCGGUCAAGGAUGGACUCGCGGCCUAUCAGCUAGUUGGUGAGGUAACGGCUCACCAAGGCGACGACGGGUAACCGGCCUGAGAGGGCGACCGGUCACACUGGGACUGAGACACGGCCCAGACUCCUACGGGAGGCAGCAGUGGGGAAUAUUGCGCAAUGGGCGAAAGCCUGACGCAGCGACGCCGCGUGAGGGAUGAAGGUCUUCGGAUCGUAAACCUCUUUCAGUAGGGACGAAGCGAAAGUGACGGUACCUAAAGAAGAAGCACCGGCUAACUACGUGCCAGCAGCCGCCGCGG